rnacentral:lncRNA from 1 species
GGACCUUAGGAUCGUUCUAUAUCUUCAAUAAAGAGGGUUGCCAAGAACGUAGGUUCAUUCCUUUUGACCCCCUUCUUCAACUGCAAGGCCGAGAUUUUCUCAACGGCCAUCUUCAUGGGCAGGCAUUGGAUAAUGCAGGGCUUGGCCCUAUUGGUUCCCAUCAUCAGUAGCAUGUCUGCAAAUGGUAAGGCAUGGUGUUGGUUUGCCUUAGGAAUUCUAGCCCAACUAUCAGCUUGAAUUCAUCUAUGAUCACCACUCGCAGGUUGAAUUUUUCUUCAUAAGGGCCAAGCUUCACCGGUACUUCUUUAACUAUUCCACCCACUGGCUGGGGAAGUGAGUUGAUAGCCUUGACACUACCUCUACAUUUCCCUACAACUAGACCAAG